UACGUGAGGGGCGAACGUUGUUCGGUGUCACUGGGCUUAAAGGGUGCGUAGGUGGUUCUGUAAGUAAGGAGUGAAAUCCCUCGGCUUACCCGGGGAAUUGCUUUUUAUACUGCAGGGCUUGAGGACCAGAGGGGAAAAGGGAACUCCAGGUGUAGCGGUGAAAUGCGCAGAUAUCUGGGGGAAGGCCGGCGGCGAAGGCGCUUUUCUGGCUGGUACCUGACACUGAGGCACGAAAGCGUGGGGAGCAAACAGG
rnacentral:rRNA from 1 species